rnacentral:rRNA from 1 species
AGAAUUGAUCUGGUUCAGGACGAACGCUGGCGGCGUGCCUAACACAUGCAAGUCGAACGGAGGUAUUGGAUGAAGCUGCGAUCCAGUAUCUAGUGGCGGACGGGUGAGUAACGCGUGGGCAACCUACCCAUAAGAGGGGGAUAACACCGGGAAACUGGUGCUAAUACCGCAUAAGCUGCUUAAGCAGUAAAGAUGGCCUCUGAAAAUGCUAUCGCUUAUGGAUGGGCCCGCGUCUGAUUAGCUAGUUGGCAGGGUAACGGCCUACCAAGGCAACGAUCAGUAGCCGGCCUGAGAGGGUGGACGGCCACACUGGGACUGAGACACGGCCCAGACUCCUACGGGAGGCAGCAGUGGGGAAUAUUGCGCAAUGGGGGAAACCCUGACGCAGCGACGCCGCGUGAAGCGAAGAAGGCCUUAGGGUUGUAAAGCUCUGUCUUCAGGAAAGAAUGUCGUGGGGAGGAAUAUGCCCUGCGAAUGACGGUACCUGAAGAGGAAGCCCCGGCUAACUACGUGCCAGCCGCCGC